GCCCAGUAUAGAAAAAUUAUUGGGGAUAUUAGCAAUUUGUUGUACAAUUCAGCUACUAAUUCCAAAAUUGAGAUAGCUAUCACCUGAUCACCCUAUUUUAACUAGCACAAAUAAACAAGAUCGAUCGUCCAGUAAAGUACAUCAGCUAGCAAUGCCAAUGUCCCAAGUUGUGGAAGACGUAACCCUCCGUUCCAUAAUAAGCUUCCUAAGAAAUGCUUCAACAAAAAUUAUUUCGAUUUCUUUUGAUCAGAAACUCUUGCUCCCGCAAUCUUGACAACAGGAUGAUCCUUUGGUUGGAUAAGCUUUAAAGCUGGAUGAACCCUCAGGUCGCCCAUUAGCAACUUUUGGUUGACAUCCAACUCACUUAGGUCAACGUCAAUGUAGGGAGGGAUGAGAUCCGCUGGGCAUAGGAACUUUACCGUUCUCUUGAUGAUAUUCAAAUAUGACCCUUUCUUCAAACCGGGGGACACAUCCUCUCCUCUAAAUACAAGAGGAACCUCAACCUUUAAUAAAGCACUUGAUGGGGCUCUUAUAAAGGUAACAUUAAGAGGCGCAUCUGAACCAGCUUCAAGAUGAACCUUUCUGGGCAGAACCCGAACCUUCUCAACAACAUCUUGAGAUUCCAAGUUAGGAUGAACCUCAAGAUCAAACAAUCUGGACAAGAAAUGAGACCGACCAAGAUGGUUAACAAGCUUCCUUAUCUGAUUAGCCUGAACAGAUAUGAGUCUUUUGUUACCACCAUGUUGACCAUCCUCUUGUUCAAACACUAUACUAGGUACCCUCCCAGCUUUCCUCUCUUUGGCUGCGAUGUUCUUGCCGGAAGUGACACGAACAACGGCAUGAAUAGUUUCUGCGUAUUUGGGGUUGGGCUUUGGGAAAUCAUCAUCUACAUCUGGAACAACGGCGGCGGCUGAGGCGGUGGCAUAGUUGCUCAAGAAACGGAAAUGGUGGAGAGAUUUGGUCAGCACAAUGCGUCGGAUCAACAUUUUUGUACUCCAAUGUGAUUGUGUGUGCGCGAGAGUGGAGCUG
rnacentral:misc_RNA from 1 species